rnacentral:lncRNA from 7 species
GCCCCCCCGCUCCUCCUCCUUCCCCCGCCUUUCCGGCGUCCUCCUUUCGGUGUUGGGGUUGUUUUUUGGUUUUUUUUUUUCUUUUUUUUUUUUUUCUUUUUUUUUUUUUUUUGGUUCGGUCUCUUUACAAACACUUUGUUUUGGUACAUUUGGAUGUGCUUGUGGGGAAAAAAAUAAAAACGCAGAGAUCCUUAUAUAUUUAUGUUAAAGUAAUAUUUUAUUAUCUACAUAAAACAGAAAUGCACAAUACCUCCAUAGUUUGUUCGAAUUAUUGAAAUACCUUUUGUUUUAUUUCGAGAGGGAGCACAGAUUGGCGUAGCUCUGAGAUCGGGAGGGACAACACCGCAGCGCUGUGAGCUCCGCGCGAGCACCGCCGGCCCUUUAUACCGCACGGAACCGGGGAAGCGGUUCCGCGUCUGCACCCAGCGCUGCCCCGGCUGCGUUCCCCGCGGAGCCCCGCA